rnacentral:lncRNA from 1 species
GAAUGUUUCAUCAUGAGAUGUAAGCAUCAUGUUCAAGACCCUGAGUGCUUCAUAAAAAAAAAAGUUCCUUUUCCACCAAAAUAAUGCCCUGAUUUGAGUGCUUCAUCAAAAGAGAAAGAUUUCUCAUGAUAAACCAUAUUCUAAGCACUUAGAUCACAAUAUAGUAAAUUUUCAAAAGGAAGUCACUUUUGCCAAGAUAUAAAGGCUCAUGUAUGUAAAUUCUAUGCUUCCAAUAUAAGCACAUUUCAAAAAUAUUAUUAAACACUUAUUUACUGAGUGCUGCUUAUAUGCCUCCUAUUCUCACUCUUUUUUGUGGUUGAAUUUAAUCAACACACAACUCUAAGGAAUAGGCAUGACUCAUUAUUUUCAUUUUACACUUGAGGAAACUGAGGCACUCAGUGUUUUACAUAUAUAAAAACGAGUAUGAGGUUCAGCCAAAAUUCAAAUACCGAACGUCUGGCUCCAAAGCCCACAUGGUAUUCACCAUAAAUAGAAAUUUCAUACUAGAAAUCAUAUUGUUUUCUUUCCCUCAGGAGCAAUUUAGGAAAUAAAUUAAAAACUUUAAAGUGGUGAUUUAAAGCAACUCACCUUUUUGCCAGUUAUGUGUUACCUUAAGAGAAAAUUGCAAGAAAUGAGAAAGAUAAAGCUUGAUGAGGAUGACACUAUCAUGAAUCACACGAAAAGAAAAGAGGAUUAUUUAGCAUAUUGAAUAUGAAGUUGUAGAUUCAGGGCAACAUCAAGACGGAUGAACUCCCCCACCAAGCUGUUUAACAAACUGGCUCUCUGUCGAGCUGGCCAUGCCGAGUUAGUAGCAGAUCUGCAAUGAUGCCUCUACCAAGCUCACAAUUAUACAAAUGGUGCAGCAGCAGGAAAGCACAUAGAAGAAGGCUACACAGAAGAUACAAGCUCCAGUCAGGUCAUGACACAAAGCCACAGAACUUAACUGGGAAAUGAGCAAUGCUUAUGUGUCCAGCAUUGUCUCAAUUGGUUUCCCAUGCAGAGAGCUCAAAGAGCAUCCUAUCUGAUAUGCACCAGGCAACAACUGAGAACAAGGACCAGCCAAAGUCAUCAGAAGGGUAGCACAGUUGCUGCUAGCAGCUGCUGUGCCCUGAGGGGUGAGGGAAAUGUGGUCGCCUAA